GGCCGCGCAGCGUAAUGAAUAACGCGUCUGGUUUCAGAUCAGAAGAUUACAAGUUCGAGUCUUGCCGCGAUCG
rnacentral:tRNA from 1 species